rnacentral:rRNA from 1 species
CCUACGGGUGGCAGCAGUGGGGAAUAUUGCACAAUGGGGGGAACCCUGAUGCAGCGACGCCGCGUGGGGGAGGAAGUACUUCGGUAUGUUAAGCCCCAUCAGUAGGGAAGAAAAUGACGGUACCUGACUAAGAAGCCCCGGCUCACUACGUGCCAGCCGCCGCGGUAAUACGUAGGGGGCAAGCGUGAUCCGGAUUUACUGGGUGUAAAGGGAGCGUUGACGGCGUGCCAAGUCUGGUGGGAAAGGCCGGGGCUCAACCCCGGGACUGCAUUUGAAACUGGCCUGCUGGAGUGCCGGAGGGGCAAGCGGAAUUCCUAGUGUAGCGGUGAAAUGCUUAGAUAUUAGGAGGAACACCGAUGGCGAAGGCAGCUUGCUGGAGCGUAACUGACGUUGAGGCUCGAAAGCGUGGGUAGCAAACAGGAUUAGAUACCCCUGUAGUC